rnacentral:lncRNA from 10 species
UUUUUGUUUGUUUGUUUAUUCUUAAUUUUACUUGAAAAAAAAAUCACACAAGUAAUGCACGUUCACUGGUUAAAAAAAUUAGAAUAUACACCAGAAAAAAAUUUAAAAAAAUCAAUAACUCCAUCAUCCAGAGAUAAUCUUUUGGUAUAUUACCUUCCAAAAUUUUUUGUGAACUUUAGAUGCUUAAACAUUUUUUUUAAUUUACAAAAUUGGGAUACUCUACAUACUCUCCAGGAAAUCUGCCCUCUUCACUAAUGAUUAUAAUGAACAUCUUUCCAUGUCAAUAAACAUAACGUCUAUAGCAUAAUUUUAAUAGCUACAUGGUAUUCCACACAUGGCUGUAACAUGACUUAACAGUCUCUCACUAGGACAUUUAAGCUGUCUCCAAUUAUUCCAC